GCGGAUAUGGCGGAAUUGGCAGACGCGCUAGAUUUAGGUUCUAGUGGGCAACGCCCGUGCAGGUUCAAGUCCUGUUAUCCGCA
rnacentral:tRNA from 1 species